rnacentral:lncRNA from 1 species
AACAUAUACAUGAUCACUGAGCAAAGUAUUUCACUAUGUUUAAGAAAAUGAUAAACGCGAAUUAAAAUAAAAAAUUUGUCAUUUUAUUAAUUAACAAAAAAUGCACUCCUAACUAAUUAAACAACAUCAGCAACAAAAAAAACGAAAAGAACAAAAACCACAACCACAACCACAACCACAACCACAACCACAACCACAACCANNNNNNNNNNAACCACAACCACAACCACAACCACAACCACAACCACAACCACAACCAAAACCAAAACCACAACCACAACCAUAGCGAGUAAUAACAGACAUGGCUAGUAUAAAAUACGUUGGUCAUUCACAUAAAAAAAAUGAGUUAAAAAAUAAACUUGUCAAAAGCGAAUUUCAUGAUAAUGACAUUUUUCUUUAUGAUAAACAUAUAAAUUUAGAACAAGAAAAAACAAAUCAAUUUAAAAUGGGUAACUCGAAUAAUCACAUUUUUCAACCUGAACAACAAAAUCAAAGUAUGUACAAUAAAUCAGAAGAGCAUAAAGAGGAAAAAGGAAAUACAAAACAAGAUAAAAAUUGUGAUAAAAUUAAAGAUGGAAAAAAAGAAAAUAACAAAGAAAAAAAUAACUACAAGGAUACUAUUCUGAAAAAAAAUUAUAGCGAUAAAUUAAGUGAAAAUAAAAAUACAGAUACAAAUAUUUUAAUAAAUAAUAAUACAGAUGAUAAUAACAGUAGUAACGCUAGUAAUAGUACCAAUGAUGAAAUCACAGAAGAAACUAAUUUAAAUAUUCAAUCAGGUACCGAAAACUUACAUGCUUCAAACAGACCAUUAAAUGAUGACAAUAGUGAUAUGAUUUUAAUUGUAAAACAACAUAAUAUAGAAAAAGAAAAAAAAAACGAUAGUAAUAACAAAUACACAAAUGAUAUUAACACAUAUAGUGUAAGUGAUAUAAAUAAAAAAAAGGGAAAUAAAAAUAAUAAUAAUAAUAAUAAUAAUAAUAGUAAUAGCAAUAAUAGUAAUAGCAAUAAUAGUAAUAGCAAUAAUAGUAAUAGCAAUAAUAGUAAUAGCAAUAAUAGUAAUAGCAAUAGUGACAAUAGUGAAAAUAGCAAAAGAAAACCAAAAAAUACAAGACCAAAAUGUAGGAAUAAAAAAACAAUUAGUAGCGACAACUAUAUACCAAUAAAUGAAAAUAAAUACAUCAAGGAUAAUACUAGUGAUAAUAACAGUAGCUGUAGUAAUUAUACCAAUAUUACAAUGUUAAGCAAAAAUAGUAAAAUAAUAAUUGAUGACAAUGAAGACUUAUUUUAUAACCAUAACUUAAAAAAAAACGCGAAAACACACAUUUUGCAUACAAGAAAAAGAAAAAAAAAAUUAGUUACAAAAAAU